rnacentral:rRNA from 1 species
AAUCCAUAGGUUAAUGAGGCGAACCGGGGGAACUGAAACAUCUAAGUACCCCGAGGAAAAGAAAUCAACCGAGAUUCCCCCAGUAGCGGCGAGCGAACGGGGAGGAGCCCAGAGCCUGAAUCAGCAUGUGUGUUAGUGGAAGCGUCUGGAAAGGCGCGCGAUACAGGGUGACAGCCCCGUACACAAAAGCGCAUGUGCUGUGAGCUCGAUGAGUAGGGCGGGACACGUGGUAUCCUGUCUGAAUAUGGGGGGACCAUCCUCCAAGGCUAAAUACUCCUGACUGACCGAUAGUGAACCAGUACCGUGAGGGAAAGGCGAAAAGAACCCCGGCGAGGGGAGUGAAAAAGAACCUGAAACCGUGUACGUACAAGCAGUGGGAGCACCCUUUUGGGUGUGACUGCGUACCUUUUGUAUAAUGGGUCAGCGACUUAUAUUCUGUAGCAAGGUUAACCGCAUAGGGGAGCCGGAGGGAAACCGAGUCUUAAUUGGGCGUUAAGUUGCAGGGUAUAGACCCGAAACCCGGUGAUCUAGCCAUGGGCAGGUUGAAGGUUGGGUAACACUAACUGGAGGACCGAACCGACUAAUGUUGAAAAAUUAGCGGAUGACCUGUGGCUGGGGGUGAAAGGCCAAUCAAACCGGGAGAUAGCUGGUUCUCCCCGAAAGCUAUUUAGGUAGCGCCUCGUGAAUUCAUCUCCGGGGGUAGAGCACUGUUUCGGCUAGGGGGCCAUCCCGGCUUACCAACCCGAUGCAAACUGCGAAUACCGGAGAAUGUUAUCACGGGAGACACACGGCGGGUGCUAACGUCCGUCGUGAAGAGGGAAACAACCCAGACCGCCAGCUAAGGUCCCAAAGUCAUGGUUAAGUGGGAAACGAUGUGGGAAGGCCCAGACAGCCAGGAUGUUGGCUUAGAAGCAGCCAUCAUUUAAAGAAAGCGUAAUAGCUCACUGGUCGAGUCGGCCUGCGCGGAAGAUGUAACGGGGCUAAACCAUGCACCGAAGCUGCGGCAGCGACGCUUAUGCGUUGUUGGGUAGGGGAGCGUUCUGUAAGCCUGCGAAGGUGGCCUGUGAGGGUUGCUGGAGGUAUCAGAAGUGCGAAUGCUGACAUAAGUAACGAUAAAGCGGGUGAAAAGCCCGCUCGCCGGAAGACCAAGGGUUCCUGUCCAACGUUAAUCGGGGCAGGGUGAGUCGACCCCUAAGGCGAGGCCGAAAGGCGUAGUCGAUGGGAAACGGGUUAAUAUUCCCGUACUUGGUGUUACUGCGAAGGGGGGACGGAGAAGGCUAUGUUGGCCGGGCGACGGUUGUCCCGGUUUAAGCGUGUAGGUGUGUGUUCCAGGUAAAUCCGGUUCACUUUAACACUGAGGCGUGACGACGAGGCACUACGGUGCUGAAGCAACAAAUGCCCUGCUUCCAGGAAAAGCCUCUAAGCAUCAGGUAACAUCAAAUCGUACCCCAAACCGACACAGGUGGUCAGGUAGAGAAUACCAAGGCGCUUGAGAGAACUCGGGUGAAGGAACUAGGCAAAAUGGUGCCGUAACUUCGGGAGAAGGCACGCUGACAC